CCCUUAGAUGUUCUGGGCUGCACGCGCGCUACACUGAUGCGCUCAACGAGUUUACGACCUUGCUUGGAAAGGUUGGGUAAUCUUCUUAAAACGCAUCGUGAUGGGGAUAGAUUAUUGCAAUUAUUAAUCUUCAACGAGGAAUUCCUAGUAAGUGCGGGUCAUCAGCUCGCGUUGAUUACGUCCCUGCCCUUUGUACACACCGCCCGUCGCUGCCCGGAACUGAGCCGUUUCGAGAAGACUGAGGAUUGCUGACUUGAGGCCUUCACGGGCUUCUAGUCGGUGAAAAUCAAUUUAAUCGCAGCGGCUUGAACCGGGCAAAAGUCGUAACA
rnacentral:rRNA from 1 species